UACGUAGGGUGCAAGCGUUAAUCGGAAUUACUGGGCGUAAAGCGUGCGCAGGCGGUCGAUCAAGUCGAGUGUGAAAGCCCCCGGCUCAACUGGGGAGGGUCAUUCGAUACUGAUCGACUCGAAGGCAGGAGAGGGUAGUGGAAUUCCCGGUGUAGUGGUGAAAUGCGUAGAUAUCGGGAGGAACACCAGUGGCGAAGGCGGCAUCCUGGACCGGCAUUGACGCUGAGGCGCGAAAGCGUGGGGAGCGAACAGG
rnacentral:rRNA from 1 species